AUGCAGUCAUUUAAGCUGACCAGGUCCCUUUCUUGAUGGAGGCCUGGUACGCAGUGGUGCAGACAGCAUCAUCCUUGGUAGUGCAUACUGCCUGAUUCCUGUAUGGUCUGCCCUAGGCAUCUUGGAGACAAUU